rnacentral:rRNA from 2 species
GGGUUGUGAGGUUAAGCGACUAAGCGUACACGGUGGAUGCCCUGGCAGUCAGAGGCGAUGAAGGGCGUGCUAAUCUGCGAUAAGCGCCGGUAAGGUGAUAUGAACCGUUAUAACCGGCGAUACCCGAAUGGGGAAACCCAGUGUGAUUCGUCACACUAUCAUUAACUGAAUCCAUAGGUUAAUGAGGCGAACCGGGGGAACUGAAACAUCUAAGUACCCCGAGGAAAAGAAAUCAACCGAGAUUCCCCCAGUAGCGGCGAGCGAACGGGGAGGAGCCCAGAGCCUGAAUCAGCAUGUGUGUUAGUGGAAGCGUCUGGAAAGGCGCGCGAUACAGGGUGACAGCCCCGUACACAAAAGCGCAUGUGCUGUGAGCUCGAUGAGUAGGGCGGGACACGUGGUAUCCUGUCUGAAUAUGGGGGGACCAUCCUCCAAGGCUAAAUACUCCUGACUGACCGAUAGUGAACCAGUACCGUGAGGGAAAGGCGAAAAGAACCCCGGCGAGGGGAGUGAAAAAGAACCUGAAACCGUGUACGUACAAGCAGUGGGAGCCCCACCACUAAGCCAGUGGUGAACUCCACAUCCGCAUCCUUUGCUGAGGAUACGGUUAACGGAGCGAAAGCGACGUUCAACCGCAAAACAAGCAGAGGGGGCUUAGUGGUGGGGUGACUGCGUACCUUUUGUAUAAUGGGUCAGCGACUUAUAUUCUGUAGCAAGGUUAACCGAAUAGGGGAGCCGGAGGGAAACCGAGUCUUAAUUGGGCGUUAAGUUGCAGGGUAUAGACCCGAAACCCGGUGAUCUAGCCAUGGGCAGGUUGAAGGUUGGGUAACACUAACUGGAGGACCGAACCGACUAAUGUUGAAAAAUUAGCGGAUGACCUGUGGCUGGGGGUGAAAGGCCAAUCAAACCGGGAGAUAGCUGGUUCUCCCCGAAAGCUAUUUAGGUAGCGCCUCGUGAAUUCAUCUCCGGGGGUAGAGCACUGUUUCGGCUAGGGGGCCAUCCCGGCUUACCAACCCGAUGCAAACUGCGAAUACCGGAGAAUGUUAUCACGGGAGACACACGGCGGGUGCUAACGUCCGUCGUGAAGAGGGAAACAACCCAGACCGCCAGCUAAGGUCCCAAAGUCAUGGUUAAGUGGGAAACGAUGUGGGAAGGCCCAGACAGCCAGGAUGUUGGCUUAGAAGCAGCCAUCAUUUAAAGAAAGCGUAAUAGCUCACUGGUCGAGUCGGCCUGCGCGGAAGAUGUAACGGGGCUAAACCAUGCACCGAAGCUGCGGCAGCGAACGUAUCACCCAAGACAACUUUACGGAGUUGACGAUUGACGGAGCGAAGCGACGUCAAAGCGUUCAUUAAAGUCGAGUUGGCUUAGGGAUACGUUCGUUGGGUAGGGGAGCGUUCUGUAAGCCCGUGAAGGUGGCCUGUGAGGGUUGCUGGAGGUAUCAGAAGUGCGAAUGCUGACAUAAGUAACGAUAAAGCGGGUGAAAAGCCCGCUCGCCGGAAGACCAAGGGUUCCUGUCCAACGUUAAUCGGGGCAGGGUGAGUCGACCCCUAAGGCGAGGCCGAAAGGCGUAGUCGAUGGGAAACGGGUUAAUAUUCCCGUACUUGGUGUUACUGCGAAGGGGGGACGGAGAAGGCUAUGUUGGCCGGGCGACGGUUGUCCCGGUUUAAGCGUGUAGGUGUGUGUUCCAGGUAAAUCCGGUUCACUUUAACACUGAGGCGUGACGACGAGGCACUACGGUGCUGAAGCAACAAAUGCCCUGCUUCCAGGAAAAGCCUCUAAGCAUCAGGUAACAUCAAAUCGUACCCCAAACCGACACAGGUGGUCAGGUAGAGAAUACCAAGGCGCUUGAGAGAACUCGGGUGAAGGAACUAGGCAAAAUGGUGCCGUAACUUCGGGAGAAGGCACGCUGACACGUAGGUGAAGUGAUUUACUCAUGGAGCUGAAGUCAGUCGAAGAUACCAGCUGGCUGCAACUGUUUAUUAAAAACACAGCACUGUGCAAACACGAAAGUGGACGUAUACGGUGUGACGCCUGCCCGGUGCCGGAAGGUUAAUUGAUGGGGUCAGCGCAAGCGAAGCUCCUGAUCGAAGCCCCGGUAAACGGCGGCCGUAACUAUAACGGUCCUAAGGUAGCGAAAUUCCUUGUCGGGUAAGUUCCGACCUGCACGAAUGGCGUAAUGAUGGCCAGGCUGUCUCCACCCGAGACUCAGUGAAAUUGAACUCGCUGUGAAGAUGCAGUGUACCCGCGGCAAGACGGAAAGACCCCGUGAACCUUUACUAUAGCUUGACACUGAACAUUGAGCCUUGAUGUGUAGGAUAGGUGGGAGGCUUUGAAGUGUGGACGCCAGUCUGCAUGGAGCCGACCUUGAAAUACCACCCUUUAAUGUUUGAUGUUCUAACGUGGACCCGUUACCCGGGUUGCGGACAGUGUCUGGUGGGUAGUUUGACUGGGGCGGUCUCCUCCUAAAGAGUAACGGAGGAGCACGAAGGUUGGCUAAUCCUGGUCGGACAUCAGGAGGUUAGUGCAAUGGCAUAAGCCAGCUUGACUGCGAGCGUGACGGCGCGAGCAGGUGCGAAAGCAGGUCAUAGUGAUCCGGUGGUUCUGAAUGGAAGGGCCAUCGCUCAACGGAUAAAAGGUACUCCGGGGAUAACAGGCUGAUACCGCCCAAGAGUUCAUAUCGACGGCGGUGUUUGGCACCUCGAUGUCGGCUCAUCACAUCCUGGGGCUGAAGUAGGUCCCAAGGGUAUGGCUGUUCGCCAUUUAAAGUGGUACGCGAGCUGGGUUUAGAACGUCGUGAGACAGUUCGGUCCCUAUCUGCCGUGGGCGCUGGAGAACUGAGGGGGGCUGCUCCUAGUACGAGAGGACCGGAGUGGACGCAUCACUGGUGUUCGGGUUGUCAUGCCAAUGGCACUGCCCGGUAGCUAAAUGCGGAAGAGAUAAGUGCUGAAAGCAUCUAAGCACGAAACUUGCCCCGAGAUGAGUUCUCCCUGAGACUUAGAGUCUCCUGAAGGAACGUUGAAGACGACGACGUUGAUAGGCCGGGUGUGUAAGCGCAGCGAUGCGUUGAGCUAACCGGUACUAAUGAACCGUGAGGCUUAACCUUACAACGCCGAAG